UUAAAAAACGUAAUUUUUUUUCGUAUAUACUUAGGAAUAUGGCCUGAGCGUUUCUACCGAGCUACCGUAAAUAGCUUGACUACGAAGAGAGUACAUAAUUUU
rnacentral:ncRNA from 2 species